rnacentral:rRNA from 1 species
GUAGAGGGCAGAGGGAAUUUCGGGUGGAGCGGUGAAAUGCGUGNAGAUCGGGAGGAACACCAAGGGCGAAAGCACUCUGCUGGGCCGUUACUGACACUCAGAGACGAAAGCUAGGGGAGCAAAUGGGAUUAGAUACCCCAGUAGUCCUAGCCGUAAACGAUGGAUACUAGGUGCUGUGCGUAUCGACCCGUAUAGUACUGCAGCUAACGCGUUAAGUAUCCCGCCUGGGAAGUACGUUCGCAAGAAUGAAACUCAAAGGAAUUGACGGGGGCCCGCACAAGCGGUGGAGCAUGUGGUUUAAUUCGAUGCAAAGCGAAGAACCUUACCAGGGAUUGACAUGCCGCGAAUCCUUUUGAAAAAGAGGAGUGCCUUCGGGAACGCGGACACAGGUGG